rfam:Bacillus mycoides Rock3-17 contig00365, whole genome shotgun sequence.
CGGAAGGAUUAUAUCGAAGAGUCGAAUGAUAGGGUAACGCCUUGAAAGGCUCUCUCUGCGUCGAAUAGCACGACAUUGAGUAAGAAGUUUCGUGUUAUAAGCUCGGCAAAUAGGCGUGAGAAUUUACCGUAACAGUAUCGGCUGACGAAAACCUUACCCGAGGGGGCGGUGUAAAUUAUGAUGCUUGAGUUGAACAA